GGAUAUCCUUAGGUUAUACGCCUCCUCUACUUGAGCGGUAGAGAGAAGCUUGCUUCUCUUGAGAGCGGCGGACGGGUGAGUAAUGCCUAGGAAUCUGCCUGGUAGUGGGGGAUAACGUUCGGAAACGGACGCUAAUACCGCAUACGUCCUACGGGAGAAAGCAGGGGACCUUCGGGCCUUGCGCUAUCAGAUGAGCCUAGGUCGGAUUAGCUAGUUGGUGAGGUAAUGGCUCACCAAGGCGACGAUCCGUAACUGGUCUGAGAGGAUGAUCAGUCACACUGGAACUGAGACACGGUCCAGACUCCUACGGGAGGCAGCAGUGGGGAAUAUUGGACAAUGGGCGAAAGCCUGAUCCAGCCAUGCCGCGUGUGUGAAGAAGGUCUUCGGAUUGUAAAGCACUUUAAGUUGGGAGGAAGGGUUGUAAACUAAUACUCGGCUGUUUUGACGUUACCGACAGAAUAAGCACCGGCUAACUCUGUGCCAGCAGCCGCGGUAAUACAGAGGGUGCAAGCGUUAAUCGGAAUUACUGGGCGUAAAGCGCGCGUAGGUGGUUUGUUAAGUUGGAUGUGAAAUCCCCGGGCUCAACCUGGGAACUGCAUUCAAAACUGACUGACUAGAGUAUGGUAGAGGGUGGUGGAAUUUCCUGUGUAGCGGUGAAAUGCGUAGAUAUAGGAAGGAACACCAGUGGCGAAAGGCGACCACCUGGACUGAUACUGACACUGAGUUGCGAAAGCGUGGGGAGCAACCAGGAUUAGAUACCCUGGUAGUCCACGCCGUAAACGAUGUCAACUAGCCGUGGGAAGCCUUUGAGCUCUUUAGUGCCGCAGCUAACCGCAUAAGUUGACGCCUGGAGUACGCCGCAGUUAAAAACCUCAAUGAUUGACGGGGCCCGCCAAGCGUUGGAACCAUGUGGUUAUUCGAGCACCAAAGACUACCAGCUGAACUCAUGACUUCCAGAAUUGAAUUUGGUCCUUCCGA
rnacentral:rRNA from 1 species